rnacentral:ncRNA from 2 species
UAACUUCCCCAGGGUAUGAGUUAAGGUAAGUCUAUUGCAUUGUAAAUGGUGAAUCCGGUGCAAUUCCGGGCGGUCGCGCCACUGUUACAGUCAGACCACUGCUUAUGGUGCAGCUUCUAA